rnacentral:rRNA from 1 species
CCUACGGGUGACUGCAGUGAGGAAUAUUGGUCAAUGGACGCAAGUCUGAACCAGCCAUGCCGCGUGCAGGAAGACGGCCCUAUGAGUUGUAAACUGCUUUUGUACGGGGGUAAACGCAGAUACGCGUAUCUGUCUGAAAGUAUCGUACGAAUAAGGAUCGGCUAACUCCGUGCCAGCAGCCGCGGUAAUACGGAGGAUUCAAGCGUUAUCCGGAUUUAUUGGGUUUAAAGGGUGCGUAGGCGGGCGGUUAAGUUAGAGGUGAAAUCCCGAGGCUCAACUUCGGAAUUGCAGCUGAUACUGUGAGGCUAGAGAGCAGUAGCGGUAGGCGGAAUGUAUGGUGUAGCGGUGAAAUGCUUAGAGAUCACGAAGAACACCGAUUGCGAAGGCAGCUUACUGGGCUACUACUGACGCUGAGGCACGAAAGCGUGGGGAGCAAACAGGAUUAGAUACCCGUGUAGUC